GCUGGGUGUGGUGGCACACUCCUGUAGUCCCAACUAUUUGGGAGGCCGAGGCAGGAGGAUCACUUGAACCCAGAAGUUCAAAGCCAAGCUGAGCAUCAUAGUGAGACCCCAUCUCUC
rnacentral:sRNA from 1 species